rnacentral:ncRNA from 1 species
ACAGGUCUGUGGUUGCAAGUCGAUGCCAGUCGCAGGCGAAACGAUCCACGUAAGAAAGCUGAAACGGCUUUUGAGCACGGUGCGGUUUAGAAGUAAGUCCUGCCGGGAAAACCGAGAGGGCGAGUAGUGAGAGGAAUACCACCGGGUAGCGAAAACUCCAGCAGGCGGGUGUGGGGGCGAAAACCAGGUCAGCUGUG